rnacentral:lncRNA from 1 species
AGAUGGUCUGGAGAUCAACUACAGAUGGUCCAAAUAUGGUCCAUGUGGUAUCCAUAGAUAAGUGGAUCACUGAGAACACACUGGGCCCUGACAUGACCAGGAAGACACAUGGCCUGAAGCAGAUCUGUGUCUCAUUCUUGCCACCUAGGACUGGGGUGCAGGGAGGAUGCUGAAAUUAAUACACAGUACUAGUGGGUGCUUAUCGGUCGGUCAGAGAUGUGGAUCUUGACACCUCUCAUCUUCCGUACAGGGUGAUCUGAGGCUAAGCGAGGAAGGCUGGUUGCCUGGCUACCAGAUGAAUUUUGAGAGGAUUAAGUCUCAAGUGACCUAGAACAACUUUGUAGUUGGCUGGAAGACUGGUGAACUCUAGUUUUAGACUAAAGUGAAUGACAGGACAGAGUUUGGAGACUCCAUCUACCAGAAGUGAACAAGAAGUUAGAGACAACUGUCAAUCUUCUGGACAACAGGAGAUAGCUACACUCACUUUGGAACAGCAGCCAAAAGUCAGAUGGAUCGAUCCCAACAUCCAUUUCUUAGCUAACGUGAGUAACCCCCAACUGAUAGAUUUAGGAUACACUCAGGCUUAAGAAAGCCAGGUAUCAAAUCAAAUAUGUCAGGUCUACUGACUGAAUGUCCAUGUUGGUGGCUACUUUGUCUAUGUCUGGAAUCUCAAGCAUAAAUGAAC